UACCCUAUCCUUUCCAUCCAUACACCCCCUUCUCGACCUUCCUCUUCCCCUGCCUCUCUACCAAUCCCAAUCCUUGUAGAAUCUUCCGCCGGCGUCCGGGCAAGAUGAACGCCCACCUCGUGUCCCCGUGCACCAGGACGCCCCUGCUCCGCCCCUUCCCGAGCCCGGCCACCCGUCUCCUACCCGCCAGAACCCUAGUUUUCCGCCCGCUCCGCCUCCCCCGUGGCGUCUGUGCGUCCCCUCCCCCACCGCGCGCCGCCGCCGCCGCCGCGUCUGCUGUGGGCGGGCUUCUUGCGCCGCUCGAGGUCGGCCUGCGCAGCAUAAACCUUGCGCCGCUGCGCCCGCCGGUUGCGGCGGCCAUGUCGGCGGCCGUGCGCUGGCUGGGGGUCUACCGGGAGGUUCUGCUUGUCGGGGUGCUCUUCUCCUGGUUCCCCAACAUCCCCUGGGACCGCCAGCCCUUCUCCGCCCUGCGAGACCUCUGCGACCCUUUCCUCGCCCUCUGCCGCGAGGUCGUCCCGCCCGUCUUUGGCCGCAAGCUCGAUCUCAGCCCGCUCGUCGCCUUCAUGGCCAUAGACAUCCUCAUCAUGAUCCUUCGCCCACAGCCACGCAUGUGAUGACAUUAUUGACUUGCUCGCUUGGAAAAAAGACAUGCAUGACUUGAUGAGGAAUUGAAGGAUAUUUGUUGGUAUGUUUAGUUCUACUAUGGUUCCCCCUUUUGUCGUUGCUGGAUAUACCAAGAUAAGAAGUGGUGGUUGAACGUUGAAGCUUGCAGCUUUAGCAAGGGAAGCAGAAUUUGAGUUAUUUUGAGACGUUUUGUAGACAAGUGUAGCUUCGUUAAUAGAACUUCUGCCACUAAUGGUACUCAAGGCUAUACAAGUAGACAUGCGCUAGCUACAGUCUCUGUGAUUCUGCUCUGUUCCCAGAUGAUAUGGCAAUCACGAAUCUGCAUGUAGCGAUUCAGAGAACUGAAUCGGAGGCUAGAGUCAUUCCUUAACGGUUUGCGAGAAAAUCCCAAAGUAGCUUAGGUAGGCUCAUGCAUGUGCAUGGUCUAUUUCUAACUUUUGUGCUUUCUUUUCCUUCCACCACGAGGAUCUUAUCUCCGUUUCUGACUUGGCUAAUGCGUUUACCUCCACAUCCACAUGUUCUUGUUCAGUGUGAUCAUUUGGUACAGCUCUUCAAACAUUAGUGAACGGAUACAUUGAUUUUCUAUGCAUAUUAUAUAUUUUGGGGCUCUCCAA